GACGAACGCUGGCGGCGUGCCUAAUACAUGCAAGUAGAACGCACAGUUUAUACCGUAGCUUGCUACACCAUAAACUGUGAGUUGCGAACGGGUGAGUAACGCGUAGGUAACCUGCCUGGUAGCGGGGGAUAACUAUUGGAAACGAUAGCUAAUACCGCAUAAUAUUGAUUAUUGCAUGAUAAUUGAUUGAAAGAUGCUAUUGCAUCACUACCAGAUGGACCUGCGUUGUAUUAGCUAGUAGGUGAGGUAACGGCUCACCUAGGCGACGAUACAUAGCCGACCUGGGAGGGUGGUCGGCCACACUGGGACUGAGACACGGCCCAGACUCCUACGGGAGGCAGCAGUAGGGAAUCUUCAGCAAUGGACGAAAGUCUGACCGAGCAACGCCGCGUGAGUGAAGAAGGGUUUCGGAUCGUAAAGCUCUGUUGUAAGGGAAGAACGGGUGUGAGAGUGGAAAGUUCACACUGUGACGGUAUCUUACCAGAAAGGGACGGCUAACUACGUG
rnacentral:rRNA from 1 species